UGUCUACGGCCAUACCACCCUGAACGCGCCCGAUCUCGUCUGAUCUCGGAAGCUAAGCAGGGUCGGGCCUGGUUAGUACUUGGAUGGG
rnacentral:miRNA from 1 species